rnacentral:piRNA from 1 species
AAGGGAAAGCCAGACUCAAAAGAC